AGAGUUUGAUCCUGGCUCAGGAUGAACGCUAGCGACAGGCUUAACACAUGCAAGUCGAGGGGCAGCGGGGAGUAGCAAUACUUCGCCGGCGACCGGCGCACGGGUGAGUAACACGUGUGCAACCAACCCCGUACCGGGAGAUAACCCGCGGAAACGUGGACUAACAUCCCAUAAUACUGGAGGAUCGCAUGAUCUUUCAUUUAAAAUUCCGGUGGUACGGGACGGGCACGCGCGACAUUAGGUAGUUGGCGGGGUAACGGCCCACCAAGCCGACGAUGUCUAGGGGUUCUGAGAGGAAGGUCCCCCACACUGGAACUGAGACACGGUCCAGACUCCUACGGGAGGCAGCAGUGAGGAAUAUUGGUCAAUGGGCGAGAGCCUGAACCAGCCAAGUCGCGUGAGGGAAGAAUGGUCCAUGGCCUGUAAACCUCUUUUGUCAAGGAAGAAUAAAUUGCACGUGUGCGAUCUUGCCAGUACUUGACGAAUAAGCAUCGGCUAACUCCGUGCCAGCAGCCGCGGUAAUACGGGGGAUGCGAGCGUUAUCCGGAUUUAUUGGGUUUAAAGGGCGCGUAGGCGGGACGCCAAGUCAGCGGUAAAAGACUGCAGCUAAACUGUAGCACGCCGUUGAAACUGGCGCCCUCGAGACGAGACGAGGGAGGCGGAACAAGUGAAGUAGCGGUGAAAUGCUUAGAUAUCACUUGGAACCCCGAUAGCGAAGGCAGCUUCCCAGGCUCGAUCUGACGCUGAUGCGCGAGAGCGUGGGUAGCGAACAGGAUUAGAUACCCUGGUAGUCCACGCCGUAAACGAUGCUCACUGGAUCUUGGCGAUACACUGCCAGGGUUCAAGCGAAAGUAUUAAGUGAGCCACCUGGGGAGUACGUCGGCAACGAUGAAACUCAAAGGAAUUGACGGGGGCCCGCACAAGCGGAGGAACAUGUGGUUUAAUUCGAUGAUACGCGAGGAACC
rnacentral:rRNA from 1 species